rnacentral:rRNA from 1 species
AGGAAAACACUCUGGAAAGAGCGGCCAUAGAAGGUGAUAGCCCUGUAUCUGAAAGGGCCAUUUCAGUGAAGACGAGUAGGGCGGGGCACGUGAAACCCUGUCUGAACAUGGGGGGACCAUCCUCCAAGGCUAAAUACUACUGACCGACCGAUAGUGAACCAGUACCGUGAGGGAAAGGCGAAAAGAACCCCGGAGAGGGGAGUGAAAUAGAACCUGAAACCGUGUGCGUACAAGCAGUAGGAGCUCCGCAAGGAGUGACUGCGUACCUUUUGUAUAAUGGGUCAGCGACUUACUGUUCGUGGCAAGCUUAACCGUAUAGGGGAGGCGAAGGGAAACCGAGUCUGAUAAGGGCGCAUAGUCGCGGGCAGUAGACCCGAAACCGGGUGAUCUAGUCAUGCCCAGGGUGAAGGUGCGGUAACACGCACUGGAGGCCCGAACCCACUCCCGUUGCAAAGGUAGGGGAUGAGGUGUGAUUAGGAGUGAAAAGCUAAUCGAACCCGGAGAUAGCUGGUUCUCCUCGAAAGCUAUUUAGGUAGCGCCUCAUAUGUAUCCUCUCGGGGGUAGAGCACUGUUAUGGCUAGGGGGUCAUCGCGACUUACCAAACCAUUGCAAACUCCGAAUACCGAGACGGACUGUAUGGGAGACACACGGCGGGUGCUAACGUCCGUCGUGAAAAGGGAAACAACCCAGACCCACAGCUAAGGUCCCAAAUUCUCGUGCUAAGUGGAAAACCAUGUGGAAAAGGCACAGACAGCCAGGAGGUUGGCUUAGAAGCAG